rnacentral:rRNA from 1 species
CCUACGGGAGGCAGCAGUAGGGAAUAUUGCUCAAUGGGGGAAACCCUGAAGCAGCAACGCCGCGUGGAGGAUGAAGGUUUUCGGAUUGUAAACUCCUUUUGUUAGAGAAGAUAAUGACGGUAUCUAACGAAUAAGCCCCGGCUAACUCCGUGCCAGCAGCCGCGGUCAUACGGAGGGUGCAAGCGUUACUCGGAAUCACUGGGCGUAAAGAGCGCGUAGGCGGGAUAGCAAGUCAGAUGUGAAAUCCUAUGGCUUAACCAUAGAACUGCAUUUGAAACUGUUAUUCUAGAGUAUGGGAGAGGUAGGUGGAAUUCUUGGUGUAGGGGUAAAAUCCGUAGAGAUCAAGAGGAAUACUCAUUGCGAAGGCGACCUGCUAGAACAUAACUGACGCUGAUGCGCGAAAGCGUGGGGAGCAAACAGGAUUAGAUACCCCGGUAGUC